GGGGCUUUAGCUCAGUUGGGAGAGCGCCUGCCUUGCAAGCAGGAGGUCAUCGGUUCGAUCCCGUUAAGCUCCA
rnacentral:tRNA from 1 species